rnacentral:rRNA from 1 species
CAAAGAGGGGGACCUUCGGGCCUCUUGCCAUCAGAUGUGCCCAGAUGGGAUUAGCUUGUUGGUGAGGUAACGGCUCACCAAGGCGACGAUCCCUAGCUGGUCUGAGAGGAUGACCAGCCACACUGGAACUGAGACACGGUCCAGACUCCUACGGGAGGCAGCAGUGGGGAAUAUUGCACAAUGGGCGCAAGCCUGAUGCAGCCAUGCCGCGUGUAUGAAGAAGGCCUUCGGGUUGUAAAGUACUUUCAGCGGGGAGGAAGGUGUUGUGGUUAAUAACCGCAGCAAUUGACGUUACCCGCAGAAGAAGCACCGGCUAACUCCGUGCCAGCAGCCGCGGUAAUACGGAGGGUGCAAGCGUUAAUCGGAAUUACUGGGCGUAAAGCGCACGCAGGCGGUCUGUCAAGUCGGAUGUGAAAUCCCCGGGCUCAACCUGGGAACUGCAUUCGAAACUGGCAGGCUUGAGUCUUGUAGAGGGGGGUAGAAUUCCAGGUGUAGCGGUGAAAUGCGUAGAGAUCUGGAGGAAUACCGGUGGCGAAGGCGGCCCCCUGGACAAAGACUGACGCUCAGGUGCGAAAGCGUGGGGAGCAAACAGGAUUAGAUACCCUGGUAGUCCACGCCGUAAACGAUGUCUACUUGGAGGUUGUGCCCUUGAGGCGUGGCUUCCGGAGCUAACGCGUUAAGUAGACCGCCUGGGGAGUACGGCCGCAAGGUUAAAACUCAAAUGAAUUGACGGGGGCCCGCACAAGCGGUGGAGCAUGUGGUUUAAUUCGAUGCAACGCGAAGAACCUUACCUGGUCUUGACAUCCACAGAACUUUCCAGAGAUGGAUUGGUGCCUUCGGGAACUGUGAGACAGGUGCUGCAUGGCUGUCGUCAGCUCGUGUUGUGAAAUGUUGGGUUAAGUCCCGCAACGAGCGCAACCCUUAUCCUUUGUUGCCAGCGGUCCGGCCGGGAACUCAAAGGAGACUGCCAGUGAUAAACUGGAGGAAGGUGGGGAUGACGUCAAGUCAUCAUGGCCCUUACGACCAGGGCUACACACGUGCUACAAUGGCGCAUACAAAGAGAAGCGACCUCGCGAGAGCAAGCGGACCUCAUAAAGUGCGUCGUAGUCCGGAUUGGAGUCUGCAACUCGACUCCAUGAAGUCGGAAUCGCUAGUAAUCGUGGAUCAGAAUGCCACGGUGAAUACGUUCCCGGGCCUUGUACACACCGCCCGUCACACCAUGGGAGUGGGUUGCAAAAGAAGUAGGUAGCUUAACCUUCGGGAGGGCGCUUACCACUUUGUGAUUCAUGACUGGGGUGAAGUCGUAACAAGGUAACCGUAGGGGAACCUGCGGUUGGAUCACCUCCUUACCUUAAAGAA